ensembl:snRNA U1 U1 spliceosomal RNA
UUACUUACCUGGCAGGGGAGAUACCAUGAUCACAAAGGUGGUUUUCCCAUGGUGAGGCUCGUCCACUUCACUCGGGACGUGCUGACCCCCAUGAUUUCCCUACGUGGGGAAAAUCAACUACAGAAUUUCUGCUAGUGGGGGACUGCGUUCACACUCUCACCUG